rnacentral:rRNA from 1 species
GUAGGGUGCAGGCGUUAAUCGGAAUUACUGGGCGUAAAGCGUGCGCAGGCGGUUUGCUAAGACAGGCGUGAAAUCCCCGAGCUUAACUUGGGAAUUGCGCUUGUAACUGGCAAGCUAGAGUGUGGCAGAGGGGGGUGGAAUUCCACGUGUAGCAGUGAAAUGCGUAGAUAUGUGGAGGAACACCGAUGGCGAAGGCAGCCCCCUGGGUUAACACUGACGCUCAUGCACGAAAGCGUGGGGAGCAAACAGGAUUAGAUACCCUGGUAGUCCACGCCCUAAACUAUGUCAACUAGUUGUCGGGGAAGAAAUUCCUUGGUAACGAAGCUAACGCGUGAAGUUGACCGCCUGGGGAGUACGGCCGCAAGGUUA